UCGAGAAUCUUCGGCAAUGGGCGAAAGCCUGACCGAGCGACGCCGCGUGCGGGAUGAAGGCCCUCGGGUUGUAAACCGCUGUCAGUGGGGAGGAAGGCUCUGUGAAGAGCAGGGUUUGACCUAUCCGCAGAGGAAGUCCGGGCUAAGUUCGUGCCAGCAGCCGCGGUAACACGAACCGGACAAACGUUAUUCGGAAUCACUGGGCUUAAAGGGUGCGUAGGCGGCCUGACAAGUUGGGUGUGAAAUCCCUCGGCUUAACCGAGGAAUUGCGCUCAAAACUGUUGGGCUUGAGGGAGUUAGAGGUGAGCGGAACUUAGGGUGGAGCGGUGAAAUGCGUUGAUAUCCUAAGGAACACCAGUGGCGAAAGCGGCUCACUGGAGCUCUUCUGACGCUGAGGCACGAAAGCUAGGGGAGCGAACGG
rnacentral:rRNA from 1 species